AAUCAUAGCUGCAAAAUAGCCAAAUAUCAAGUAAGUAACAAAGCAAAUAGGGCUUAGCUGCAUUAAAUGAACUUCAAAAUCCUGACAAAUUAUUUCCACUAAAUCUUGACAUGCUAAUUCUUCAUUUAUUUUCUGCACAUAUAAAAACCUUUCAGGUACUUAAUUAGCACGAUUUGAGGAUGCCCCUCAUGGCAUGCACACAACACAAAAGUGUAAAAAAUUAAGAAAAUAAAGUAAAUUCUUAAACCUUCAAUACUUGAAAAAACCCAUAUAUUAAUAUGCAUUAGCAGAUAGUGACAAAUGAUGUCGACAGAUUACAGGAGGUCAGCAGGAAAUAUCUAUCCCAUGAUAAAAUUUAAAUAAGAAACCAAAUUUAUCAAAUUUCUUUUCCCUUGUGGUCUAUUCAGAAUUGUUGGUAAGGUCAUAAUAAAGAAUAAGAAAAAACAAGAAAUGAUUAUAA
rnacentral:misc_RNA from 1 species